rnacentral:rRNA from 1 species
UACGUAGGUCCCGAGCGUUGUCCGGAUUUACUGGGCGUAAAGGGAGCGCAGGCGGCGCGCCAAGUCUGAUGUGAAACCCCGGGGCUCAACCCCGGGCAUGCAUUGGAAACUGGCGGGCUGGAGUGCCGGAGAGGUAAGCGGAAUUCCUAGUGUAGCGGUGAAAUGCGUAGAUAUUAGGAGGAGCACCAGUGGCGAAGGCGGCUUACUGGACGGCAACUGACGCUGAGGCUCGAAAGCGUGGGGAGCAAACAGG